UACGGAGGGUGCAAGCGUUGUCCGGAUUUAUUGGGUUUAAAGGGUGCGUAGGCGGCUAAUUAAGUCAGCGGUGAAAUUCCACAGCUCAACUGUGGAACUGCCAUUGAUACUGGUUGGCUUGAGUACAGAUGAGGUAGGCGGAAUUGACAGUGUAGCGGUGAAAUGCUUAGAUAUCGUCAGGAACGCCAAUGGUGAAGACAGGUGACUGGGCUAGAUCUGACACUGAGGCACGAAAGCGUGGGGAGCGAACGGG
rnacentral:rRNA from 1 species